GACGAACGCUGGCGGCGUGCUUAACACAUGCAAGUCGAACGGAAAGGCCCUGCUUUUGUGGGGUGCUCGAGUGGCGAACGGGUGAGUAACACGUGAGUAACCUGCCCUUGACUUUGGGAUAACUUCAGGAAACUGGGGCUAAUAUCGGAUAGGAUCUCCUGCUGCAUGGUGGGGGUUGGAAAGUUUCGGCGGUUGGGGAUGGACUCGCGGCUUACCAGCUUGUUGGUGGGGUAGUGGCUUACCAAGGCUUUGACGGGUAGCCGGCCUGGGAGGGUGACCGGCCUCAUUGCGACUGAGAUACGGCCCAGUCUCCUACGGGAGGCAGCAGUGGGGAAUAUUGCACAAUGGGCGGAAGCCUGAUGCAGCAACGCCGCGUGCGGAAUGACGGCCUUCGGGUUGUAAACCGCUUUCGCCUGUGACGAAGCGUGAGUGACGGUAAUGAGUAAAGAAGCACCGGCUAACUACGUG
rnacentral:rRNA from 1 species